GGAUAACCUACCCUUAGGACCGGGAUAACCCUGGGAAACUGGGGAUAAUACUGGAUAGGCAAUUUUUCCUGUAAUGGUUUUUUGUUUAAAUGUUUUUUCGCCUAAGGAUGGGUCUGCGGCCGAUUAGGUAGUUGGUUAGGUAAUGGCUUACCAAGCCGUUGAUCGGUACGGGUUGUGAGAGCAAGAGCCCGGAGAUGGAACCUGAGACAAGGUUCCAGGCCCUACGGGGUGCAGCAGGCGCGAAACCUCCGCAAUGUGAGAAAUCGCGACGGGGGGAUCCCAAGUGCCAUUCUUAACGGGAUGGCUUUUCAUUAGUGUAAAAAGCUUUUGGAAUAAGAGCUGGGCAAGACCGGUGCCAGCCGCCGCGGUAACACCGGCAGCUCUAGUGGUAGCAAUUUUUAUUGGGCCUAAAGCGUCCGUAGCCGGUUUAAUAAGUCUCUGGUGAAAUCCUGUAGCUUAACUGUGGGAAUUGCUGGAGAUACUAUUAGACUUGAGACCGGGAGAGGUUAGAGGUACUCCCAGGGUAGAGGUGAAAUUCUGUAAUCCUGGGAGGACCGCCUGUUGCGAAGGCGUCUAACUGGAACGGUUCUGACGGUGAGGGACGAAAGUUAGGGGCGCGAACCGGAUUAGAUACCCGGGUAGUCCUAACUGUAAACGAUGCGGACUUGGUGUUGGGGUGGCUUUGAGCUGCUCCAGUGCCGAAAGGGAAGCUGUUAAGUCCGCCGCCUGGGAAG
rnacentral:rRNA from 1 species